rnacentral:rRNA from 1 species
GGCGGCGAGUGGCGAACGGGUGAGUAAUACAUCGGAACGUGCCCAAUCGUGGGGGAUAACGCAGCGAAAGCUGUGCUAAUACCGCAUACGAUCUACGGAUGAAAGCAGGGGAUCGCAAGACCUUGCGCGAAUGGAGCGGCCGAUGGCAGAUUAGGUAGUUGGUGAGGUAAAGGCUCACCAAGCCUUCGAUCUGUAGCUGGUCUGAGAGGACGACCAGCCACACUGGGACUGAGACACGGCCCAGACUCCUACGGGAGGCAGCAGUGGGGAAUUUUGGACAAUGGGCGCAAGCCUGAUCCAGCCAUGCCGCGUGCAGGAUGAAGGCCUUCGGGUUGUAAACUGCUUUUGUACGGAACGAAACGGCCUUUUCUAAUAAAGAGGGCUAAUGACGGUACCGUAAGAAUAAGCACCGGCUAACUACGUGCCAGCAGCCGCGGUAAUACGUAGGGUGCAAGCGUU